AUGGAGCUCAUGCCAAAUAUCCUUCAGGGGAUAGCGCAGGGAUGGACCUAUGGCGCAUUAGCUAGUUGGCGGGGCAACGGCCCACCAAGGCAACGAUGCGUAGCCGGCCUGAGAGGGCGGACGGCCACAUUGGGACUGAGACACGGCCCAGACUCCUACGGGAGGCAGCAGUAGGGAAUUUUCGGCAAUGGGGGAAACCCUGACCGAGCAACGCCGCGUGAGCGAAGAAGGCCUUCGGGUCGUAAAGCUCUGUUGUAAAGGAAGAACGUCGCAUGCAGGAAAUGGUGUGCGAGUGACGGUACUUUACCAGAAAGCCACGGCUAACUACGUGCCAGCAGCCGCGGUAAUACGUAGGUGGCGAGCGUUAUCCGGAAUCAUUGGGCGUAAAGAGGGAGCAGGCGGCCGCAAGGGUCUGUGGUGAAAGACCGAAGCUAAACUUCGGUAAGCCAUGGAAACCGGGCGGCUAGAGUGCGGAAGAGGAUCGUGGAAUUCCAUGUGUAGCGGUGAAAUGCGUAGAUAUAUGGAGGAACACCAGUGGCGAAGGCGACGGUCUGGGCCGCAACUGACGCUCAUUCCCGAAAGCGUGGGGAGCAAAUAGGAUUAGAUACCCUAGUAGUCCACGCCGUAAACGAUGGUCACUA
rnacentral:rRNA from 1 species